CAAUCAUAUGCUUGUCUCAAAGAUUAAGCCAUGCAAGUCUAAGUAUAAGUGUUUAUACGGCGAAACUGCGAAUGGCUCAUUAUAUCAGUUAUAAUCUACUUGAUCGAUUCUGUUACUUGGAUAACUGUAGGAAUUCUAGAGCUAAUACAUGCGAAAAGGCCGGACUGGGGGCAACUCUGGGAAGGCCAUGUUUAUAAAGAGAGGAACCAGGAUGGGGCGUUAACUUGGUGGGCAACUGCCAGGGUCUCAUAUAACAGAUGAAUCAUUGUAAUUUCAU
rnacentral:rRNA from 1 species